rnacentral:rRNA from 1 species
UACGUAGGGGCUAGCGUUGUCCGGAUUUAUUGGGCGUAAAGAGCGUGUAGGCGGCCAGGUAGGUCUGCUGUGAAAACUCGAGGCUCAACCUCGAGAUGUCGGCGGAAACCAUCUGGCUAGAGUCCGGAAGAGGAAAGUGGAAUUCCGUAGGUGUAGCGGUGAAAUGACGCAGAUAUCAGGAAGAACACCCGUGGCGAAGGCGGCUUUCUGGGACGGUACUGACGCUGAGACGCGAAGCGUGGGGAGCGAACAGG